ensembl:snRNA U6 U6 spliceosomal RNA
CUGCUUCCACAGCACAUAUACUAUAAUUGGAAUGAUACAGAGAAGAUUAGCAUGGCUCCUGUGCAAAAAUGACGUGCAAAUUAAUGAAGCAUGCCAUAUUUUU